rnacentral:lncRNA from 1 species
CCCCUUCCCCACCAUCUCUUUUUUCACUCCUUUGCCUUCUCUUCAUGCUUCCCUGGCUUAAGACCCUUGUACCAACAUUGUUUAUUCCUGCAUAUGGCCAAAGAGUUGCUGACCUCUGCCUUCCCUCAUGAAAUUUUCAAACACACCUGCUCCUGUGCCUUGCAAAUGAGUCCUAUCUGAACCUCCAAUCACACCAGGGUGCCAAGCAUCCCUAGCUGCAGAAUAUCUGGUCUCCAGGCAACCAGAGAGGAGCAUUCCAUCUUCAGAAAAGGUACUAAGUGCUCUCUUGCCCUGAAAGCCCUCUAAAGUUGAAGGCAAGGGUUUGGAAGAGAUUCAAAUCAAACUCUCUAUAAGCUGGGCUCCCUCUGGUGAUAAAUGACUUUAAAAAAGGAAACAAGAGGGUAGCUAAGGAGGAUAUCAACUCUCAUUCGCCAACACAUGAUAAUAUAGAGAUGUCAGAAAUAAAUAAUUGGUCUAAAGCUGCACUGGCUAAUUUGAUAACCAUUAGCCACAGGUGGCUAUUCAAAUUUAAACUGAUACAAAUUUAAUUAAAGUUUCAUUCCCCAGGCACAAUAGCCACAUUUCAAGUUCUCAGUAGCCACAUGUAGCUGCACUGGAAAGGACUGCAGAUGCAGAAAUAGGGAGAAAUAGAGAGAGAGGGAAAAAGGAAGAGAAGAAAUGAGACAUUUGGUAUUACUCACAUCCUUUUGGGUAAUCAGGAGAUAAAGACAGAGAAGGAAAGACAGAGAAAGAAAAGAAAACAUAAAUAAUUGAAAGAGAAUAAAACUGCAGGUCUGAGAUCAAGACUUUUUCCUCCCAGCUUUAUACAUUCUAAGAGACAUGUGAAUAAUGUGAGAGGAGCACACUUUCCCAAGCACUUGAUUUUAAGAGCCUGUCUUGGGUGUAAGUAAACUGAGUAUGGAGGCUCACCUCUAUGGGAGGCUAGAGUUCUUGCAGCCAAUUAGUUGCUUUGACCUGAAUCGACUCAUUUUCAUUUAGAUGUUUUCUUGCAACCUACCAACGAGCAUCUUGUAUCACCCCCCCACCUGCCCUUUCCUCUAAAUCUGAGAAUGACUAUGGCAAUGGGGAUAGAACAGCACAUGUAUUAGAAGUGAAGAGCAUUACUGAGAAUUUAGAGACUAUGUCUAGUUUGGAGGAACCCAAGGGAACUUCAAGAAAAGUAAUCAGAGUGAGUAGGAAAGAAUACAUAAUGCAAAUUAUUCCCUCCAGGAACUUUACUUCAAAAAGAACAAGUGCAUUUCCCUGAAGGACACCAGUACUGUCAAAUGUAACUGUUCACCAUGCUUCUCCAAGGCACCAAAUGGGCUUUUAAGUCACAUUCCUGCAGGUUUAACCAUGGAUUCAAAAUAGAAACUGUAAAUUUGCUCUCUAAGUUUGUAUUGACAUGCAGAUAGUAUUGGGGUUAUUGUGUGGCCUCACUAGGAUAUCUGCUUAUAAUUUAAUGAGAGAUUUGGUAAAAAUGGAAUGGUUGACAUCACAGAGGUUUCAGCAUUUUUGACCCUCUAUUUUAUGUGGUGAACUCCAAGACCAACUGAGAUCAAAACUUCUGGCAGCCUCUGAAAAUAUCUGCUGAAGAUAUUUGUGGAAUAUAAGCUUAUCCUACAAAUUAACAACAAUAAUAAAGAUAUAAUAUUCAUUUAUAUUCCCUUAGAAUUAAUGAGCCAUUUCAUUGUCUUAGCUAUUUCCUUGAAGGGGAGAGAACAGGUCAAAGCACAACCACUUCCAUAAAACAGAAAACCGCUCCUAUUUUAUGACACACUGAUGGAAAAAGAACAGGCCUAAAAGUUCUUCCACCCUUCACCUCUGUACCUUCAGUUCCCAAAUACCAUUUCUGCGAUAGAUAGAUGAUAGAUGGAUAGAUAGACAGAUAGAUAGAUAGAUAGAUAGAUAGAUAGAUAGAUAGAUAAAUAGCACCAAGAAUACACAGAUAGCUAACACAUAAUCCAUGCACUGAGGUGACUCAAAGUUAAAUGGGAGACAUACAUUUAUAACGCAUUACGAUGACUGUGGUAGCGUCAGAAACUAAUUGCUUUAGGAGUACAGAGGAAGAAGUAAUUAAUUCUCCCUGAGGGUUUAGAGGAAGAUUCAUGAACAAACCUGUGCUGCUCUGCAAUGUCACUACACAUCCAGAAGCCAAUGGGAGUGAAGUCAAGGGCAAAGUGGGUAAGGACCAGACACUGUACGCCCAUAGAUGACCCCUCUCCUAUUAUAGUGCACCCCAACAAGGUUAUCUAUCCACACAUAUUGUUUCCAACUAAACCAACACUUUUCCUGGUUCUUGACAUCAACACUUAAGGAGUUAAAGCUCCUCUCCAGAACUAUUGCUUUGAAAGCAGCCUUUAUACCUCUACUGAGUAGAGAGCAGUCAGUCAUUAGAGCCACAAAGAGCCAUGCACUCAGGAACACAUAUACACACCCUACUUAAAUGUAUAUAUGCAUGCAUGCAUGUAUGUAUGCAUAUAUAUAUAUGCAUAUUAAGUAAAUGAUAUACAAAUAUAUGAAGUAAAUAUAUACAGGUAUUAUUAAAUACCUGAGUAGGUAGCUCUUUGCUAGGGCUCAAGGAAUAAAAAUCAGCAUAAGACAUUUGCCUAUAAAAAGUUUGUAGUACAGUGAAGUAUAUGGCAUGCCCUACCAUAGUCAUUGCUAGCACAAAGGGGAAAGACAAGGGCAUUUUGUAAUACUAUCUUCAGCUCAAGCUGCUACCAAGAAAGCUGGGAAAUAACAUUAUGAGAUAAUCCAGUCUUCCCCACCUGUAAGUACCAACUAACAAAUAAAAAGUUUAUGUAAAUAAAAGGAACUACCACUAAAUAUUAAUAGAUCCAAUAUAUUCAGCCCAUGACCACCAGGAAGCUGCAUUCUCUCAGCAGUGUCUUAUUUAAGGUUGAUGCUGUCUUCCUAGCCACAUAAAUCACUCUAAGAGAGAAUAGAGUUUUUCCCUGUGGAGUCUGUGAUUACAGACAGGUAUCCCAGUUUGGGAUCAGGAAAGCCCUCGUUCUAAACUAAACAUGGCUACAGAAGUAGUUGAUUGCCUUUGGCUGUUUUUGUUUCCUCAUCUAAAAGAGAAGCCCUGG